rnacentral:rRNA from 1 species
AUUGAACGCUGGCGGCAUGCCUUACACAUGCAAGUCGAACGGUAACGAGCCUUCGGGUGCCGACGAGUGGCGAACGGGUGAGUAAUACAUCGGAACGUGCCCGAUCGUGGGGGAUAACGAGGCGAAAGCUUUGCUAAUACCGCAUACGAUCUACGGAUGAAAGCAGGGGACCGCAAGGCCUUGCGCGGACGGAGCGGCCGAUGGCAGAUUAGGUAGUUGGUGGGGUAAAAGCUUACCAAGCCGACGAUCUGUAGCUGGUCUGAGAGGAUGAUCAGCCACACUGGGACUGAGACACGGCCCAGACUCCUACGGGAGGCAGCAGUGGGGAAUUUUGGACAAUGGGCGCAAGCCUGAUCCAGCCAUGCCGCGUGCAGGAUGAAGGCCUUCGGGUUGUAAACUGCUUUUGUACGGAACGAAAAGCCUUCUUUUAAUACAGGAGGGUCAUGACGGUACCGUAAGAAUAAGCACCGGCUAACUACGUG